GGGGGCGUCGGCUAGCUUGGCUUAGGCUCUACGGCUUGGGCCCGUAAGACCCCGGUUCGAAUCCGGGCGCCCCCA
rnacentral:tRNA from 1 species